GAAAUGCGAUAAGUAAUGUGAAUUGCAGAAUUCAGUGAAUCAUCGAAUCUUUGAACGCACAUUGCGCCCGCCAGCACUCUGGCGGGCAUGCCUGUUCGAGCGUCAUUUCAACCCUCAGAACCCCUUGCGGGAUCUGGCGUUGGGGAUUGGCAUCCAGCCAGCCCCGAAAUCUAGUGGCGGUCCCUCCGCGACCUCCCCUGUGCAGUAGCGAUACCUCGCAGCGGGACAGCGGUCUGACCACGCCGUAAAACCCCCAACUUCUCAAGGUUGACCUCGAAUCAGGUAGGAAUCCCCGCUGACGUUACGC
rnacentral:misc_RNA from 1 species